AUUGAACGCUGGCGGCAGGCCUAACACAUGCAAGUCGAGCGGAUCUUCGGACGGGUGAGUAAUGCCUACGACUCUGCCUGUUAGUGGGGUAUAACGUCCGGCAAUGGGCGCUAUUUCCGCCUACUUUCUGAUGAGCCUAGGUGGGGUUAUCUAUGUGGUGGGGUAAAGGCCUACCAAGGCGACGAUCCGUAUCUGGUCUGAGAGGAUGAUCAGUCACACUGGAAUGUAGACACGGUCCAGACUCGUACGGGAGGCAGCAGUGGGUAAUAUUGGACAAUGGGCGAAAGCCUGAUCCAGCCAUGCCGCGUGUGUGAAGAAGGUCUUCGGAUUGUAAAGCACUUUAAGUUGGGAGGCGUUACCAAAAGAAUAAGCACCGGCUAACUUCGUGCCAGCAGCCGCGGUAAUUC
rnacentral:rRNA from 1 species